GCGCUCUCGGGCAGCUGCAGCGGCCACCUGGAGAGCAGUGAAGCCAGUGCGCCGCCCACCUGGAAAGAUGCUCCAGUUACAAAUGAUAGAUCCAAAAUUGUCUUCUGGAAGAAACAUCACAAAACUUCAAAGAAAUUAGAAAAAAGUUACCUACAUAGGCAGAGAAUUCAACUGUGAGUUGACAAUUAUUUACGAUUCUCUUAACUGGCUGUUUCACAACGUUAUGGAGCUAAGAAAGGAUGAAAGCUUACCACUGCUUGGAUACCAGCUUGAUAAGCAGCUUGGAAUGUCAAAUAUAUAACAAGAAAGGAAAUAUUCUACUUUAAAGGAACAU
rnacentral:lncRNA from 10 species